CUCAGGCCUGAUGGGGGGUUCGAUAAGGGGGAGUGGGGGGCUUGGGGGAGGAAGGGUAGGAGAGAGACUGGACCUGGGGCCUUGUCUGGGUAAAGCUGCGGGGACUUGCCCGCAGGAACCUGGGAGGCGCGUGGCCUGUUGCCCCGCUGAAGAUGGGGCUCUUGGCUUCUGGGAGGGCGUCGCCCCGACGUGAACCCGCCGAACCCCCAGCGCCCAGGCGUGUGUGGACGCAGCAAGGCAGGGAGAACCCGAGGUUCUCUGCACCCCAGAUGGAGACGAGACAGCUUGGCGGUUGAUCCCCUGCAGUGGGGUGUAGGGCCGGGCUUGGGGGGGCGCAGACUUUAGCCUUGGGGAGACCAGCAGCCCCCCUUUUUUUGCAGACCGAGGGUCGUGAGCUCGCCUGGCGACGCGGCCUGGGAACAGCUUGGUCUCGCGGGCUGAGUGCUCUGGCCCCGGGUGGUAUGUAAGGUGGCAGUGCUCCCCCCCUCUUGGGAUGCUCUGGGUGCCUGUUUAGCCUCUCCUGUGACCCCUUCUGCCCCUCCUCGCUCUAACCCUUCACUUUAACCUUGCUCUGGGCACUGGUAAGCUGGGGAAGCCGCCCAGGACGCUGUUGGAGUCGGCACUGUUGGUAACGGUGAAGGCGAGCUGAGACUGGCACGGGGAGCCAGGGGGGUGGGGGGCGCUUCCCCGACGAGCGGGUGGGCCGCCGCAGGUGGUGGCCCCAGAAGUGCCCAACAUGCUUCAUGGACGUGGUUUGUUACCAUAGUGCUCAUCCCAGCGACCCGAUGGCACCAGGAGACAGUGGAGCCCCUGGCAGUGUGAGUCGUAGCGGUGCAGGAGGGGAGUCCCAGGAGCAGAGCCCGGCCUAAGUUGCUGCCUGCACGUUGCAACCCAGAGCUUAGGAGGAAGUUCUCCACGGUCCGGUUUCCAGGCCUGGCUGUUCUCAGGAGGUCGCCACUGAAAGCUUGCAGAGGGGCUCUGAGGGGCAGCCGUGGAAGGCCGCUGCUGCAGAUGUGUUGGAUGAUCCAGGAGCACCACCCUCUGGGCGUCUGAUGCCAGCAGCGCCCCCUCCUCCCGUUCUGGGGUGGAGGUUUUCAGAUGCUGCGUCUUCUAAGUUGAGCCUCCUGUCCUAGUUCUGUGCUACCAACAGCUUCCAGAAGAGUCUGAAGCUGUAGGACAUUUAACCUUGAUGACAGCACCCCCGAGCUGCCUGCCUGGUAGACUGAGAUUGCGGUGGAGCCCAGUGAUCCUUUCUCAUCCCCGGCGCCCGCAGAGGAACGAUUAGUGUCGCCCUACAGUCGAUGUGAUGGGACAGGGACGGGGUUCGGGGUGCUGAGGCAGAGGCUUAGAUGAUUGGCAAAUAUGGGCAGGUAGUGUUGCUAAGAAGUCGGUGCACAAAUUUUUAGCAAUGGUAGGUCAGGGCUGGAAGAUGGGCUUGAAGGGUAGAGUUUAUUCUGUGUUGGGAGGCCAGGGGUUGAUCCCAGGCACCACCGGGUUCACCCCGGCAAUGCUGGGUGUGGCUCUAAAACAGCUGCCGCCAAAAACUACAGGAAGAAGUGGCAGGUCCCGGGGCGCUCCCGGCCCUCUAAGGGUCACUGUAGGGCGAAUGCUCCGGCUGUCACUGGGCUUUGAUUCACCUCGAGCUUUUUGAAGCCUGAAUUUUACUUGGUUAGAUCUCAGCCAUCAUUGUCUGAAGGGGAAGAUGGGUGGUGAGGGUUACAUAGGGUGGGAGAGGGAACAGCUUGGUACUGGGGGGGCUUGGGGUGAAGAGUCAUGGCGGAGGAUGGGGUGGUCGGGAAGGUGGCUUGACAGGAAUUGGGAGGAGUGGUCGGUAAGGCAAACGAUCUCAUGGGCAAGAGAGAAGUUGAUACUGGUCAUUAAUAGUCAAAUUCCAGCAUGGAAUCACGAAGCUUAAUCAGAAGCUAAGUGCUUAGAGCCCUGUUAAAUGCAGGGCGGAAAGCAAAAUUGUUUUGCUGCAAGGUGGAGAAUAGGUGUAACUGGCAACCUGCGUCAGUCCCUUGAAGAGGGUGCCAGACUCACACCCCAGUGAGUGCCAUUCGCUGGACUGAACCCACUUGCUUCAUCUAAAGUUGCAAGGGGUCAGGCUGCGCCCAAAUUGUGUGCUCUGAAAGUAUGUAGUUUGCAGCCUUGGGGUGCUCUUUAGAUGAGGUGCGCUCGUUGAGCUUUUGACUCAUCUUUAUUGGCGGAUAUUGUGACUUAAGAUUCUAAGCCAUGUAUAUGACUAACAAGUAAUUUCAUGUUAUGAGUUGGGUCUUAAAAACAUACCUGGGCUUUGGUCAACAUGGAUUACAGCAAAGUUUUUGUUUAUUGCUGAUAGUCAUUGUAACAAGGAGCAGCAAAUAAGAUUUUAUCGCCACUAUAAAAUGACUAAUUUGGUAGCAAGCAGUCGAUACUCUCUUGCGAAGACUAGCUAUUUCUUUAGCUCAAACAUGCUUUAAAUGUUUCAAUAUUAGAGAACAGCUAUCAGCCAAAAUCAGUUUGGGGAAUAAGCAAACAGGGUGGGGGGUGCCUUUUCUAAAUGUUCUGUUUGUAAAACUUUGGGAAAUCUAAAACUGCCUAAUAAGAGUACUUGUUUCGAAAAUCUGAAAAUGUUUAAUGGGAGUACUUGUUUCUGAGGAGUCUAAUGAAUUAGUACAAUAAUAUCACUAUCGUGUCACUAAUAAGCUGGAAUUGUACUUAAAAUUUGUUAAUGAGCCAAUUGCUUUUGGGGUUUUGUUUCGGUCCUAAAAAUUUUUAAAUAUGUUAGCUGGAAAUUCUUCACCAGUGACUUGGGGGUGAUGACUUUGCAAUGGCAUUUCAAGAGUAUUGGUCAUGCUGUGUGGGGAAAGGUCUCUAUGCCCUUGUGAAAUGCAGCUUUGAGCGUAAACAUGGGCGGGUAAAAAUACUUGUAUGUUGCUCUGUAUGAUGAGAACCUGUACUGUUGCAUCAUGUAUGUGAUUACUAAUCAUUUCCUUCCCCUUCACAGCACAAAUAAAGGUUUGAGCUCUAAUUAUAA